AAUAAAAAAGAAUAACCAACAACCAGCAUUGAAAUUAUGUAAAUCCAAAAUCUGUAUACUCCACACUCACAAUCUCUAAAUCGCCAUAAACACAAAUUGUCACAAAACCUCCAAUAAUCCAGAAAUCAGUAAACAAACCUACACAAAACCCCUGAAAACCAUAGAUGGGUACUCUGAAAUUGUAAAAACCCUAAACCUCUAUAUCUG
rnacentral:lncRNA from 1 species